rnacentral:lncRNA from 1 species
GGGGGGGGCACUCUAGUUCACUGCUCCCUGUGUCCAAAAAAAAAACAAUUCUGACUGCCAUCUCAGAAUAUAGCCAUGUUUAAUUAGAGUUUUUUUCAAAGUUAAACAUCAAUUAUGAAUAGCGAAAUAAUUAUAAAGACUAGUACCAUAAAAAUGAUGCUAGACUGUUAUAAUAUGUAACUUCUUUAUUUCAAAUAAAUUACUUUUAGAGAUAUUAUUGGUUAAAGUUAAAAGGUUAAUUUUAGAAAACUCUUGGUUUAGAGACAAGGUGGGACGGGAUGGUCCCGCCCCUAUUUUUUGGAAUGGGAUGGUCUCAUUUCGUGUUUGGUUCAGAAUGAGAAAAUGGGAUGGGUUCAUCCCAGUUCUAUGUUUGGUACAAGAAAUUGAGAAAAUGGGAUGGAUGGUGAAUUUAACACCGUUAACCCUACAUGUCAUCUAAAAAUAGACCCCACAUGUCAUUUCAAGAGCCUUAUCCUUUCUUCUUCCUGCUUGUCCCUGUUCUUCUCCCCCAAGCCCCGCCAUGGAGCUCUGCCGCCUCCUCUUCUCCUAGCGGCCAGGGAGAGCUGGCCCCGCGGCGGAGAUACCGGUCGGCCGCGCUGGCCUCAUCCCGGCGGCCGUGCUGGCUCGCUUAGCCUGGUCUCUCGCGGACGAAGGGAGAUGACAGGCGUGAUGGGGGCGAAGUGGGAU